UAUGACAGCUCGAAUUAAAAAUGUCAGUUUAAAUGUAAAUUUUAUAAAAAAAUGUAUUGUACACUAUUUUAAAUGUCGCCUAAACAAUGGAUCAAAGAAUUUUAUAUUUCCACGCCACUGUUAAGAAUACAACAGACUGAAACAGUCACAGAAAUUUCCGUAUCACGUAACAUAAGCUAGAAGCAGUAAAAAAUUAUUACUUAACCAUACAAAACCAAUGUUAAUGCAAUAGUUCAAAUUCAGUGAGUGGUGUAAAAUCGAGCUAGAAACACUCCAAACCGAUCCAUAAACUAAGGACCCAAUUGAAUAAGUGAAAAAAUAAUGACGGUUGAAGAUGUACAAAUUUUUAUUGGAAACAUCAUUCACUGUAAAAGUCGUUUAAAUCUAGAAGUAAUAAAACCAGGCUUCGUUAUUGUUAUUGGUUCGAAGAUUGCAGCAGUAGGUGAAGAAACUGAAUUGCCCCAUAAACUAACACAACUUCAAUUAAAAUCUUGCGUAGCUACACGAGUCCUCAAAAAAUCUCAAAUUCUUAUUCCUGGUUUAAUUGAUACUCAUUUACAUGCCCCGCAAUAUCCAAAUUGUGGCUUGGGAUAUGAUAAACCUCUUCUGGAAUGGUUAAAUACUUAUAUAUAUGAGUUGGAAAAACAAUACGUAGAUCUGGAUUUUUCUAGGAGAGUAUACAAGGCAGUAGUGCGCAAAACACUUUCUAAUGGUACUACUACAGCAUGCUAUUACGGUUGUUUGUUUAACGAGAGUACCAAUAUUUUAGUAGAUACAGUAGUGGAAUAUGGUCAACGAGCAUUAAUAGGCAAAAUUAAUAUGACUCGUUUAGCACCAGAAGAAUACUUAGAAACACCUGAAGAUUCAAUAGCUAAUACUAAAAAGUUUGUUAAAUACGUUUUCGAAAAAGAGUCUGACCUAGUUCUACCAAUUAUCACUCCAAGGUUUGCUUUAAGCGUUACUAUGGAAUUAAUGAAGGAACUUGGACAAAUAGCCAAACUGGGAGAUUUACACAUUCAAACGCAUAUUUCCGAAAAUGCUGAAGAAGUUAAAUUAGUAGAAUCCACUUAUGGGAUGCCGUAUGCUCAAGUUUAUGAUAAAGCAAAUUUAUUAACGAGAAAAACCAUUCUUGGCCAUGGAAUUUAUUUAUCCGACGAAGAAAUUAAGUUACUAGUAGAAAGAGGCACUGCUGUUUCUCACUGUCCAGAUUCUAACCUCUGCUUGAAAUCCGGCUUGUGUAACGUGAGGAAAUUAUUAGAGAAUGGAGUCAAAGUUGGAUUAGGAACAGAUAUCUCAGGUGGAGCUUCGCCUUCGAUAAUUAAAGCAAUGAAAACAUGUUUGGAUGUCUCAAUAGCGAAAUCAUUCCACGUUACUGAAGUGAAACCAUUAAAUUAUGAAGAGGUUUUCUACUUAGCAACACUAGGAGGAAGUGAAGUUUGCCAGUUGCCGUUUUAAUUGCGUUUUGGACUUUCCACUCACUCACUUUCCCAUAAAAUUGAACUUCUGCUACAUGCAACAUUUUUCCUGCCAGCAUUAGCUAUGGAAAAUAAAAUUGGCAACUUUGAUGUACACAAAGAAUUUGAUGCUUUGAUAAUUGAUAUGGGAAUCAAUAUUGAAGAUUAUUUCAUAGGAUGUGAUCCCAGAGAAAUUUUGCAAAAAUUCAUUUAUACUGGAGAUGACAGAAACGUCGCAAGUGUAUACGUCGCAGGUGUGGAGGUGAAAUAAUAGAAAUAAAUAAUACCAGACAGCUUUCGAAGUUUCAAUAAUUCCUAAUCAAAAUAAACUAGCAACUUGCGGUUCACAGGAGGUGUGAUUGUUGACCUAUUAGAGUGAAUUAAUAAUUACAUUUAGCUUUGGCUUUUACCAGUGAAAAAGUACAGUUCCAGUAUGGAUUAUGAAGCACAAUUCGAUCAUAUUCCAUAAUAAAUUAUUCUUUCAAUAUGUAAUAUAAAAAUGUUACAAUUUCUUCGAA